rnacentral:lncRNA from 1 species
GAUGCAUAAAAGAGCUAAAUGAAUGAUUUUAUUUCAUGAUAUGAUUAAAAAUCCUAUAAGGAUAGCAGACAACUAUAAUAAAUAUAUAACCAUGAUAAAGCUUAGCAAAACAUACCCUGUGCAAAAAAUACAAUGCAAUGAUAUUUUUUUUCAAAUGUAACAAAAAAUUUACAUUUCAACUGAGCAUCAAUGAAUUUUUUUUAAAGUAUGAAACAAUUCAACUGAGCUUCAAUGAAUUUUUUUUAAUGUAUGUAAAAUUUCAGCUGAGCAACGCCAAUGGAGAGUAGCAACAGAUUUUUUAUGAAACAAAAUUAUUUAUCCAAAUAACAAGACAAUGAUCAAUGUUUUACGAUCAAGAACUUUUAAUGCCUGAAAACAGACAAAAUUUUUUGUAUCUUUCUAAACAGUUUAACAAUGCUAUAAUUCAUAUUUUUAUGAGCAAAUUCUAAAUUCUGUCAUGGAAGUACAAAGAGUAUUUGCCUAAAUUGCAAUCUUUCAUCAACUUUUACACAAAAUCUAAAAAUACAGUUGAAUUUUAUCAAAAAGUUUCCAAUUUUUUCUAUCACAGAAACUCUUUCAAUCUUAUGUAAUAACAUGUAGCAAACAGAACACGAUAGAUUUUUACCAAAUAAUAGAAUUUCAAUAGUAUUUUUAAAGUGAUACAUGUUUGAACAUCUCUUUAAAUGCACAAAUCUAAAUGCAAUCGACUCCUUUUCUCAAUUUGACCAAUUGCCAAAGAAAUUUUUAAAUCUCGAGAAUUAAUUGGUCUAAUGGGACAGAGUCUUUACUUUACAAUUCAGAAAAAAUUAAAUGAAGUUAAUGCUUAAUGUCAUCAAAGCAAAUGUUUUUCAAAAAGAUCGUGCAUUUUAUUUAUAUGUUAAUAUUAUCUUUCAUUCAUUCCAAACAUUCAAAAAAACAGGUCUUGCUACUUUUAAAAAAUACUUAAGAAAUGAGCACCAUGUGUUUUAUUAAAUGUUGAUACAAACCAUUUGCUAAUGAUAUAUAAAUAUAUUAAUGAAAAAAAUAAUGUACAAUAUGUCCUAUUGCAUUGCAUUCCAAUUUUAUUGGCUAGGCUUUAUGACAUUUUCAAAGUUGAAAAAAGUUAAAAUUAAAUGUAAAUAAUAAAUAAAUUACUUAAAAAUAUUUCUGCAAAUGUAUGAUUCAAGUAUUG